UGCACAAAAACUUUUAACUACAACUAAUACACUAUUACUGAUUAUUCACAGAGCUCUUGAUCCCAUUUAGGUGACAGUAAGAGAAGGCAGGGUAAAAGAAAAGCCAUUUUGAAGUGUGCUGAAGUCAAAGGCAAGAGACUCAUGGAGGACCAGAGUUUGCAAAAAGAAAGAGACUCUCUGGAGCCAGGAAUUCAUACUGCUCAAAAUCAAGAUGGCCCUAACAAUGGUUGUCAUUGCUCAUAUUCCUCUAAAGAAGCAGGAGCUGGAGCUGUGGAUGAUGGUGAUUUUAUUAAGGCAUUUACAGAUGUUCCUACUGUACAGGCUCAGGGUGGCAUCUCUGGGUUAGAUCUUCAUCUAAAAAGGGUAGAGGCCUGUAGUCUUGAUCCUGCAUAUUUCCCACUGCAUGAAAGUAAUUUUCCCAAAGUUGCGAUGUCUGCAGCCUUGCCUAC